AGACCCCAUUCCUUCUGGUCCCGCCAGGGCACGCGGGACCAGAGGCAGAAGAACCUGCCCCCCCCUUCAGCGCAGUUCACGUGAGGGCAGGGGCAGAGGGGAUGGCGCGCCAAGUUCCCACCCCUAGGCCCCGCUGCGCGAUCCGGCCAACCCCUCCCGACUGAGCAGUGGAGCGGGGCCUAGAGGCCCGCUGCCGGGCGCUGGCUCCUCCCUCCCCGGCCGCUCCGGCUCCCGCCUCUCUCCCUUCCGCCGCCUAGGUGGGAGCCGAGCCUGAAUGAACGAGCCGCAGCCGGGGCCGGGCAGCUGCAGGGCUGCUGCGGGCGGGCAGUCUGGAGGCGGCAGCGGAGAUGCCAGGACCCCGCUGAGCUCACCGUUUUGCUCCUGGAGCCUGGAGCCUGACGCACCAGGCGGUACGAGGCCGGAGGCCGCAUGCGGAGCGGUGAGGAGCUGGGCAGCUUCCAGGAUGAGGCCUGCCUGCAGCAGCUCCAGGAUCGUAGGCGCCAGCCGCACUUCUUUGCCUACUCCCGAGCCAGUGAUCCAGCGCCCUGGGCUGGGAGGCCUCCGCUGCGACCCCGACCAGCUGCGCUGCAUUCUCGGCCUCCUCAAAGUCGCCAAAUUGAAGUUGGAUGGAAAUGCUGCUGAUUGAACAUCUAUCAUGCCAAGUGUUAUCCUGCUUCUCUCCCCACUGGACUGACAGCAACCGAAAGCAAGAACCAGAAUCAUUCUUCUAUGACCACAGUGUCUGUCCUCGGAUCCAGAUCAAAGUAGGUACUAAGUAAAGCUCAUCUUAAAAGAUUAUGUUUUCCUUUUUCCUGAUAGAUCUGCUCAGAGCUAAUUUGUGGCAGAAUAUUGUUCUUGCCCUGUAGUUAAAUGCCCUAUACAGGUCAC
rnacentral:lncRNA from 1 species